UUCAUUCAUGAAAUAUUUCAUACACGGGAGUUUUUUCUCCUAAACGGGAGGACGGGAGGAGACCCUUGAAAACGGGAGUUUUGUACUUCCGUCGGGAGGUUCACAUGUAUGUUACGAAGGGCAUCUAAUUCACAUGACAAAGGAAAACCAUGAAUAAAGACAACACUUUAUAUAUCCUUUUUAUUUAUAUAAAAACAAAAUCUUCUUGUCUGCAGGAUUGCAAAUUCGUAACUUCAAGGGCGAAC
rnacentral:lncRNA from 1 species